rnacentral:piRNA from 1 species
CUUAAUGAUGUAGUCUGUUGUUGCUGAGC